AAUGUUUAUAUUUUGGAAGAUGUAAGCUUUAUAUUAUGUUUAGAAGCUUAAUGUAUAAUCAAGUGUAUUAUGAAGGCUGAAUGAAUGUAAUAGAUAGAUGUUCCUCUCUUUAUCAUUACUUGUAUGUUCUAUACUUGUAUCUUGCUCUUAGUCGUUUAGCACUGAUUGUGCUCUCGUUGUAGUUGUCGAUUGUGUAUGUAUUCAAGUUAUUUUCCUGGGAACUUGUUGUACACAAUCUCGUUGUUAGCCUUGGGCGGAUAGGGGAGGUGCUGUCCGUCCGGCGUCUGUUCGACGCGCCCGGGCCGAGCCAAAUUGGUAGCGGUCGCGGGGCGUGACAG
rnacentral:lncRNA from 1 species